GACGAACGCUGGCGGCGUGCUUAACACAUGCAAGUCGAACGGGCCUUGUCCCCUUUUUUUUGGGGGUGGGGUUAGUGGCGAACGGGUGAGUAACACGUGAGUAACCUGCCCCCCACUUCUGGAUAACCGCUUGAAAGGGUGGCUAAUACGGGGUGUUCUGGCCUGCUCGCAUGGGUGGGUUUGGAAAGAUUCGACCGGUUUUGGUUGUUUUGGUGGGGGAUGGGCUCGCGGCCUAUCAGCUUGUUGGUGGGGUGAUGGCCUGCCAAGGCUUUGACGGGUAGCCGGCCUGAGAGGGUGGGCGGUCACACUGGGACUGAGACACGGCCCAGACUCCUACGGGAGGCAGCAGUGGGGAAUAUUGCGCAAUGGGCGCAAGCCUGAUGCAGCGACGCCGCGUGAGGGAUGGAGGCCUUCGGGUUGUGAACCUCUUUCGCCAGUGAAGAAGGUCCUGCUCUUUGUGGUGGGGUUGACGGUAGCUGGGUUAAUGAAGCGCCGGCUAACUACGU
rnacentral:rRNA from 1 species